rnacentral:tRNA from 1 species
GUCCCCGUGGUCUAAUGGAUAUGACGUCGGCCUCCGGAGCCGAAGGUUGCAGGUUCGACUCCUGCCGGGGAUA